rnacentral:rRNA from 1 species
AUUGAACGCUGGCGGCAUGCCUUACACAUGCAAGUCGAACGGCAGCACGGGUGCUUGCACCUGGUGGCGAGUGGCGAACGGGUGAGUAAUACAUCGGAACGUACCUUAUCGUGGGGGAUAACGCAGCGAAAGUUGCGCUAAUACCGCAUACGCCCUGAGGGGGAAAGCGGGGGACCGUAAGGCCUCGCGCGAUUAGAGCGGCCGAUGUCUGAUUAGCUUGUUGGUGAGGUAAAAGCUCACCAAGGCGAUGAUCAGUAGCUGGUCUGAGAGGGCGAUCAGCCCAACGGGGACUGAGACACGGCCCAGACUCCUACGGGAGGCAGAAGUGGGGAAUUUUGGACAAUGGAGGCAACCCUGAUCCAGCAAUGCCGCGUGAGUGAAGAAGGCCUUCGGGUUGUAAAGCUCUUUUGUCAGGGAAGAAACAGCAGCUCUAACACAGUCUGCGAAUGACGGUACCUGAAGAAUAAGCACCGGCUAACUACGUGCCAGCCGCCGCAGUAA